UUGAUGUUCUGAAUUUGGGAUGUGGCUUAUCUGGGUAAUUUGGGUUGUCUCAGAAUUUUAGUGUAAAGGCAGUGCAUCUUACUUGUAUCUGUUUUUCUUUUCUUGGGUUUUAGAUGAUUCUAUCUUUCCAUUGUAUGUCAGAGAUACUGGCCCUCGUACUUGAAUCUGUUCUUUAUGUUAUGCAUGCGCAAACUUCUUUUUUCUCAAGGCAUAUCGUCAUGGGCUUUGUUCUUAUUACUCUUGGUGGGGCUUGUUAGAAAUAAAUACAUAGUUACUUAGUUAAAGCGGAGGCUUUGAUAUGAUGCAAAUGAAGCUGUCACCAGCUGAAGAACAGGAAAACCGUGGCUGAAGAGAGUAGUACCCUUAGCUUGCAUUGUUGUACCUAGCCGUUAAAUCUGUUAAGUAACUGUAGUUUCUAUUUAUGGUUAAGUUCUUUUUUUAUUUUGGGUCCCUAAGUUAAUUUAAAUACACAUUAGGAAUCCACAAUUGUUCAAGGGUCCCUUUCUAGUCCAAGGAACAUUCCUGCAUAGGUAGUACAAUUUCAGCCUUAUCCCUUAAGGAUUAGGAUGAGUCAUCUAGGGUUGAAAUACUAUAAAUUGUAAUGAGUCGUUUCCAUUUUUACUAUCAUAUAUGAAAAAUAUCUUAGCCGUAAUUAGUUCUUAGCUUAGUUCUCAGUCUGCAAUUUACCUGGCUAUUAUUCCACUGGAACACUGUCCCAUUACCUCUUGUUAAUUGUUCUGCAACACUUCCACAAGCAUAUAGUUCUCUGGGCAGUGCAAUGGGGUAUAGGUCCUUGGUUUCUAGUUUGUCGAGUUGAUAUGGUAGACAUUUGCGACUCUUACUAGUGCUUUUCAGUAGUUAGACAAUGUCUAAUUGCCUGUAAAUAAUAUAUGUCGGUAAUAUGUCGCAGCGAUCCCACCUAGGGUUAUAGAUUAGGAUAUCAUCAGAACCCCUCAAUUUAACCCUCUUAAGGUUCAAAUACCUGGUUCAUGGGGCCUUGAAAGGUGAGAGGGAAACUUUUGGCCAGAGAGCGUUAAUGUGAAAUCACACUGUCUUUGACUCCUUGGUGUGUCCUAAGAGCAAUUUUAGGUAUUCUGAAGUUCACGAACAAGAUAGCUCUUUCUUAUCGGAUGGUAGCUCACAAUCCCUGAAACUGGGAUAAAUAUAUGUCCUCUAAAAUUUAAUAAGUAUAUCCCCUGUUAUGACAUUUCUUAUGUGAAAGAGUUGAUGCCAAAAUUAGAUCUUUCAAGGAAAGAAGAGCUAGAGAGGCAUGCCCUCCACUUGGUAGGCACUUGUUUUAUUUGGUUCCACCUCCAGUUGAUUAUAAGAUAUCAAUAAGGUGGCCAACUAGCAGGGAUUAUGUAUGGCGAAGAAAUAUAAACCAUACACAUCUUGCGGAGGUUAAAGGAGGACAAAAUUGGGUACAUAAGAAGGUUCAACUUUGGUGGCUUUUGGGUGGUGGAACUCAUUAUAAGUAUGGAGCUACUGAAUAUAUUGAGAGGAAAUAUGACUACUAACGAGAUAAGUGGCCUACGUGCAGCAGGGGUAUAUCAAGUGUUUGAUGUUGGUUGUAGGGUGGGUAGUUUCUCUGCUUAGCUUCUUCCACUUAAUAUAGAAACACUGUCUUUUGCUCCUAAAGAUGGUCAUGAAAAUCAAAUUCAGUUUGCUUUGGAACGAGGAAUUGGUGUUAUGAUAUCCGCUAAAGCGACGAAAUAGCUACCAUAUCCAAGUAACUCUUUUGACAUGGUCCAUUGUUCAAGAUGUUGAGUUGAUUGGCAUGGUAAUGAUCACGGUGAAUGAUCGAAUGGAGUCUAAAGGUGGAAAGAAGACUAGUAGUAAAUCCUCACUCUACGAAGCACCCCUCGGCUACAGUAUUGAAGACGUUCAACCAAACGGUGGAAUCAAUAAGUUCAAAUUUGCCUCUUACUACAACUAUUAGUCAGAUCAAGUUCCUGAAAGGUGGUUGUUUGAAAAAUCUAAUGUUUCCAAGUUGAACCAACUGAUUAUGCUUGAAAGGAAUUUCACCCUCCAAUUCGUUGUCAAACAAGUUUUAAGUACUUCAAACUUGAGAGAUGGCUCAGCUCAACAGGAAUUGAACCAGAAAAGCUGUUGUUUGCAAGGUUCAAGAUUUCAAGUGAUUCGAGCUGACCAAUUGAUGCAGGAAUCUGUCCCCCAAUCUUGUUAUUUGAUGCUGCAAAAUUUUGAAGAUAUUUGCAGCCGCCAAUUGCUUCUGGUAUGGGGCCAUUAAGACUGUUUUGCUGUAAGAAAGAUUUGAGUCUCACAAUAUGAGAUUUAUCAUCUGAACAUGCCACUCCAUUCCAGGUACAUAUGCUAGACCCACUUCAUCCCAAAAGGACAUCUUAUAAGUAGUUUCGUUGAUCUAGUUGAUGCUUGUAUUUUCUCCUUUUUUGUGAAUCAAACAAUGACAAUUGAAAGGAAGCGAAUACUUUUUUCAUAUUCAUCUCAUAGUUGGACUUAGUUUUCAACUCUGUGUACUUGUUUUAUCCAUUGGCUAAGACAGUUAUCCAUU